rnacentral:rRNA from 1 species
CAAAGGCUUGGUCCUGACUUUAUUAUCAACUUUAGCCGAGCUUACACAUGCAAGUAUCCGCACCCCUGUGAGAAUGCCCUCAGUCCCCUGCCUGGGGACAAGGAGCUGGUAUCAGGCACACUUCUAGCCCAUGACACCUUGUUUAGCCACACCCUUAAGGGAACUCAGCAGUGAUAGAUAUUAAGCCAUAAGUGAAAACUUGACUUAGUAAAAGCUAAGAGGGCCGGUAAAACUCGUGCCAGCCACCGCGGUUAUACGAGAGGCCCAAGUUGAUUUUCUACGGCGUAAAGAGUGGUUAGGGAACGAUUACCAUUAAAGCCGAAUGUUUUCAAGGCUGUUAUACGCACCAGAAAACAAGAAGUUCAACCACGAAAGUGGCUUUAUUAAACCCUGAACCCACGAAAGCUAGGGGACAAACUGGGAUUAGAGACCCCACUAUGCCUAGCCGUAAACAUUGAUAGACUAACACAACCCCUAUCCGCCCGGGUACUACGAGCACCAGCUUAAAACCCAAAGGACUUGGCGGUGCUUUA